CCAACGAAAAAAGAUGGAAAAUUUCUUCCUCAUCAAAGAAAAGCAAUCACUCCACCACAGCUAAAGAAAAUGAUGCCAAGAAACCUCUGUAAACAGAUGGAGCCAUGGAGGCAGGCACCAGAACAAGAGAGAGUCCAUGUCCCAUGGCUAUCAGUAUCACACAAUUUUGAUCUUUCUUUAUAUAAUAAUUAUUAAUGGCCUUUUGAUGCUUAUAUAAUUCAGUGGCCUUUAAUUGGGAUGCCAUCAACUAUAAGGUCUUUGUAACGAUGUUUUUAUCUGAAUGAUAAUCUGAGAAAAUGAAGGCACAAAUCAUAA